rnacentral:rRNA from 1 species
GAUGAACGCUGGCGGCGUGCCUAAUACAUGCAAGUCGAGCGAACAGAUAAGGAGCUUGCUCCUUUGACGUUAGCGGCGGACGGGUGAGUAACACGUGGGUAACCUACCUAUAAGACUGGGAUAACUUCGGGAAACCGGAGCUAAUACCAGAUAACAUUUGGAACCGCAUGGUUCUAAAGUGAAAGAUGGUUUUGCUAUCACUUAUAGAUGGACCCGCGCCGUAUUAGCUAGUUGGUAAGGUAACGGCUUACCAAGGCAACGAUACGUAGCCGACCUGAGAGGGUGAUCGGCCACACUGGAACUGAGACACGGUCCAGACUCCUACGGGAGGCAGCAGUAGGGAAUCUUCCGCAAUGGGCGAAAGCCUGACGGAGCAACGCCGCGUGAGUGAUGAAGGGUUUCGGCUCGUAAAACUCUGUUAUUAGGGAAGAACAAAUGUGUAAGUAACUGUGCACGUCUUGACGGUACCUAAUCAGAAAGCCACGGCUAACUACGUG